AGAGUUUGAUCAUGGCUCAGGAUGAACGCUAGCGAUAGGCCUAACACAUGCAAGUCGAGGGGCAGCACAUGAGGUAGCAAUACUUCUGGUGGCGACCGGCGCACGGGUGAGUAACACGUAUGCAACCUACCUUCAACAGGCGGAUAACCCCGGGAAAUCGGGGCUAAUACGCCAUAACACAGGGAUCCCGCAUGGGAAUAUUUGUUAAAGAUUUUAUCGGUUGUAGAUGGGCAUGCGUUCCAUUAGCUAGUUGGUGAGGUAAGGGCUCACCAAGGCAACGAUGGAUAGGGGAACUGAGAGGUUUAUCCCCCACACUGGUACUGAGACACGGACCAGACUCCUACGGGAGGCAGCAGUGAGGAAUAUUGGUCAAUGGAGGCAACUCUGAACCAGCCACGUCGCGUGAAGGAAGACGGCCCUACGGGUUGUAAACUUCUUUUGCAAGGGAAUAAAGUGAGUCACGUGUGACUUUUUGCAUGUACCUUGCGAAUAAGGAUCGGCUAACUCCGUGCCAGCAGCCGCGGUAAUACGGAGGAUCCGAGCGUUAUCCGGAUUUAUUGGGUUUAAAGGGUGCGCAGGCGGGAGAUUAAGUCGGUGGUGAAAUUUUGCAGCUCAACUGUAACAGUGCCAUUGAUACUGGUUUCCUUGAGUGUGGAUGAAGUAGGCGGAAUUUGUGGUGUAGCGGUGAAAUGCAUAGAUAUCACGAGGAACUCCGAUCGCGUAGGCAGCUUACUAAACCAUAACUGACGCUCAUGCACGAAGGCGUGGGGAUCAAACAGGAUUAGAUACCCUGGUAGUCCACGCGGUAAACGAUGAUUACUGGCUGUUUGCGAUACACUGUAAGCGGCCCAGCGAAAGCGUUAAGUAAUCCACCUGGGGAGUACGUU
rnacentral:rRNA from 1 species